rnacentral:rRNA from 1 species
CAACACACGCAAGUCGUGGGAGAAGGAGUCUCUUUGGAGACUCUGGAGACCGGCGGAUGGGUGAGUAACGCGUAGGCAACCUGCCCGGGAGACGGGGAUAACCCACCGAAAGGUGAGCUAAUACCCGAUGAUGCAGCGGCCCCGCAUGGGGACAGUUGUUAAAGGCCUUCGGGCGCUUUUGGAUGGGCCUGCGUGUCAUUAGCUAGUUGGUAGGGUAACGGCCUACCAAGGCGAUGAUGACUAGGGGGUCUGAGAGGAUGAUCCCCCACACUGGGACUGAGACACGGCCCAGACUCCUACGGGAGGCAGCAGUGAGGAAUCUUGCGCAAUGGGGGAAACCCUGACGCAGCCACGCCGC